rnacentral:lncRNA from 1 species
GCGGCUCUGCUGUCGCUGUUCGACCUCGUCCCCCGCGCCGAUCGACGCUCCUCCGCCUCCAUGCUCGACCGACUCUUCACCACACUCGACCUCAAUGAAGACGGGCUGAUCGACUCGCGGGAGUUCGAGACGGUGCUGAGGCUGGUCGGCACCAUGAACCGCCAUCCCUCCUUCGUGUGAGCCUUCUGCGGCGCCUCCUCCGGCUCCCUUCAACCCCGUCGGCCCAAUUGACUCCUUCGAGCUGAUGACGUCAGACUGACUCUCCCGUUGAAGAACGAAACACCGCCAUGAUGAACGAUGAAUGAACAGCCCUUGGUCUACCCUGAAUGUUCUUCAGGUGCAGCUUUCGCUCUUAUUAAUCUAAUCAUAUUUAAUAAACUUGAUCGCUUUUAAA